AGCGAACGCUGGCGGCAGGCUUAACACAUGCAAGUCGAACGGGCACUUCGGUGCUAGUGGCAGACGGGUGAGUAACACGUGGGAACGUACCUUUCGGUUCGGAAUAAUUCAGGGAAACUUGGACUAAUACCGGAUACGCCCUUUGGGGGAAAGAUUUAUCGCCGAUAGAUCGGCCCGCGUCUGAUUAGCUAGUUGGCGAGGUAAAGGCUCACCAAGGCGACGAUCAGUAGCUGGUCUGAGAGGAUGAUCAGCCACAUUGGGACUGAGACACGGCCCAAACUCCUACGGGAGGCAGCAGUGGGGAAUAUUGGACAAUGGGCGCAAGCCUGAUCCAGCCAUGCCGCGUGAGUGAUGAAGGCCUUAGGGUUGUAAAGCUCUUUUGUCCGGGAAGAUAAUGACUGUACCGGAAGAAUAAGCCCCGGCUAACUUCGUGCCAGCAGCCGCGGUAACAC
rnacentral:rRNA from 1 species